rnacentral:rRNA from 1 species
GACGAACGCUGGCGGCGUGCCUAAUACAUGCAAGUAGAACGCUGAAGGAGGAGCUUGCUUCUCUGGAUGAGUUGCGAACGGGUGAGUAACGCGUAGGUAACCUGCCUGGUAGCGGGGGAUAACUAUUGGAAACGAUAGCUAAUACCGCAUAAUAUUGACUAUUGCAUGAUAGUCAGUUGAAAGGUGCAACUGCACCACUACCAGAUGGACCUGCGUUGUAUUAGCUAGUUGGUGGGGUAACGGCUCACCAAGGCGACGAUACAUAGCCGACCUGAGAGGGUGAUCGGCCACACUGGGACUGAGACACGGCCCAGACUCCUACGGGAGGCAGCAGUAGGGAAUCUUCGGCAAUGGACGGAAGUCUGACCGAGCAACGCCGCGUGAGUGCAGAAGGUUUUCGGAUCGUAAAGCUCUGUUGUAAGAGAAGAACGAGUGUGAGAGUGGAAAGCUCACACUGUGACGGUAUCUUACCAGAAAGGGACGGCUAACUACGUG